rnacentral:rRNA from 1 species
GUUUACAGCCAUACCACCCUGAACGCGCCCGAUCUCAUCUGAUCUCGGAAGCUAAGCAGGGUCGGGCCUGGUUAGUACUUGGAUGGGAAACAGCAAUGGCAGAAUUUGUCCACUGUUUAGC